UGCUGUGAACUCGAAGAGUAGGGCGGGACACGUGGUAUCCUGUCUGAAUAUGGGGGGACCAUCCUCCAAGGCUAAAUACUCCUGACUGACCGAUAGUGAACCAGUACCGUGAGGGAAAGGCGAAAAGAACCCCGGCGAGGGGAGUGAAAAAGAACCUGAAACCGUGUACGUACAAGCAGUGGGAGCCUACUUGUUAGGUGACUGCGUACCUUUUGUAUAAUGGGUCAGCGACUUAUAUUCUGUAGCAAGGUUAACCGUAUAGGGGAGCCGAAGGGAAACCGAGUCUUAACUGGGCGUUAAGUUGCAGGGUAUAGACCCGAAACCCGGUGAUCUAGCCAUGGGCAGGUUGAAGGUUGGGUAACACUAACUGGAGGACCGAACCGACUAAUGUUGAAAAAUUAGCGGAUGACUUGUGGCUGGGGGUGAAAGGCCAAUCAAACCGGGAGAUAGCUGGUUCUCCCCGAAAGCUAUUUAGGUAGCGCCUCGUGAACUCAUCUUCGGGGGUAGAGCACUGUUUCGGCUAGGGGGCCAUCCCGGCUUACCAACCCGAUGCAAACUACGAAUACCGAAGAAUGUUAUCACGGGAGACACACGGCGGGUGCUAACGUCCGUCGUGAAGAGGGAAACAACCCAGACCGCCAGCUAAGGUCCCAAAGUCAUGGUUAAGUGGGAAACGAUGUGGGAAGGCACAGACAGCCAGGAUGUUGGCUUAGAAGCAGCCAUCAUUUAAAGAAAGCGUAAUAGCUCACUGGUCGAGUCGGCCUGCGCGGAAGAUGUAACGGGGCUAAACCAUGCACCGAAGCUGCGGCAGCGAC
rnacentral:rRNA from 1 species